rnacentral:snoRNA from 3 species
GGUCUCCUCCUAUAGUAGUGGUGCAGGGAAGAGCCCCCUCCUGCAGCCAGUGGGAGAGACAGAGAAAAAAAACAGAGGAAAAUCGUCAUGGCUGCUAGCAGCUGGUGGCUGCCAUGUUUUCCUGCCUCUUACACUG